GGGUUGUGAGGUUAAGCGACUAAGCGUACACGGUGGAUGCCCUGGCAGUCAGAGGCGAUGAAGGACGUGCUAAUCUGCGAUAAGCGUCGGUAAGGUGAUAUGAACCGUUAUAACCGGCGAUUUCCGAAUGGGGAAACCCAGUGUGUUUCGACACACUAUCAUUAACUGAAUCCAUAGGUUAAUGAGGCGAACCGGGGGAACUGAAACAUCUAAGUACCCCGAGGAAAAGAAAUCAACCGAGAUUCCCCAGUAGCGGCGAGCGAACGGGGAGCAGCCCAGAGCCUGAAUCAGUGUGUGUGUUAGUGGAAGCGUCUGGAAAGGCGCGCGAUACAGGGUGACAGCCCCGUACACAAAAAUGCACAUAUUGUGAGCUCGAUGAGUAGGGCGGGACACGUGGUAUCCUGUCUGAAUAUGGGGGGACCAUCCUCCAAGGCUAAAUACUCCUGACUGACCGAUAGUGAACCAGUACCGUGAGGGAAAGGCGAAAAGAACCCCGGCGAGGGGAGUGAAAAAGAACCUGAAACCGUGUACGUACAAGCAGUGGGAGCACGCUUAGGCGUGUGACUGCGUACCUUUUGUAUAAUGGGUCAGCGACUUAUAUUCUGUAGCAAGGUUAACCGAAUAGGGGAGCCGAAGGGAAACCGAGUCUUAACUGGGCGUUAAGUUGCAGGGUAUAGACCCGAAACCCGGUGAUCUAGCCAUGGGCAGGUUGAAGGUUGGGUAACACUAACUGGAGGACCGAACCGACUAAUGUUGAAAAAUUAGCGGAUGACUUGUGGCUGGGGGUGAAAGGCCAAUCAAACCGGGAGAUAGCUGGUUCUCCCCGAAAGCUAUUUAGGUAGCGCCUCGUGAAUUCAUCUCCGGGGGUAGAGCACUGUUUCGGCAAGGGGGUCAUCCCGACUUACCAACCCGAUGCAAACUGCGAAUACCGGAGAAUGUUAUCACGGGAGACACACGGCGGGUGCUAACGUCCGUCGUGAAGAGGGAAACAACCCAGACCGCCAGCUAAGGUCCCAAAGUCAUGGUUAAGUGGGAAACGAUGUGGGAAGGCCCAGACAGCCAGGAUGUUGGCUUAGAAGCAGCCAUCAUUUAAAGAAAGCGUAAUAGCUCACUGGUCGAGUCGGCCUGCGCGGAAGAUGUAACGGGGCUAAACCAUGCACCGAAGCUGCGGCAGCGACGCUUAUGCGUUGUUGGGUAGGGGAGCGUUCUGUAAGCCUGCGAAGGUGUGCUGUGAGGCAUGCUGGAGGUAUCAGAAGUGCGAAUGCUGACAUAAGUAACGAUAAAGCGGGUGAAAAGCCCGCUCGCCGGAAGACCAAGGGUUCCUGUCCAACGUUAAUCGGGGCAGGGUGAGUCGACCCCUAAGGCGAGGCCGAAAGGCGUAGUCGAUGGGAAACAGGUUAAUAUUCCUGUACUUGGUGUUACUGCGAAGGGGGGACGGAGAAGGCUAUGUUGGCCGGGCGACGGUUGUCCCGGUUUAAGCGUGUAGGCUGGUUUUCCAGGCAAAUCCGGAAAAUCAAGGCUGAGGCGUGAUGACGAGGCACUACGGUGCUGAAGCAACAAAUGCCCUGCUUCCAGGAAAAGCCUCUAAGCAUCAGGUAACAUCAAAUCGUACCCCAAACCGACACAGGUGGUCAGGUAGAGAAUACCAAGGCGCUUGAGAGAACUCGGGUGAAGGAACUAGGCAAAAUGGUGCCGUAACUUCGGGAGAAGGCACGCUGAUAUGUAGGUGAAGUCCCUCGCGGAUGGAGCUGAAAUCAGUCGAAGAUACCAGCUGGCUGCAACUGUUUAUUAAAAACACAGCACUGUGCAAACACGAAAGUGGACGUAUACGGUGUGACGCCUGCCCGGUGCCGGAAGGUUAAUUGAUGGGGUCAGCGCAAGCGAAGCUCUUGAUCGAAGCCCCGGUAAACGGCGGCCGUAACUAUAACGGUCCUAAGGUAGCGAAAUUCCUUGUCGGGUAAGUUCCGACCUGCACGAAUGGCGUAAUGAUGGCCAGGCUGUCUCCACCCGAGACUCAGUGAAAUUGAACUCGCUGUGAAGAUGCAGUGUACCCGCGGCAAGACGGAAAGACCCCGUGAACCUUUACUAUAGCUUGACACUGAACAUUGAGCCUUGAUGUGUAGGAUAGGUGGGAGGCUUGGAAGUGUGGACGCCAGUCUGCAUGGAGCCGACCUUGAAAUACCACCCUUUAAUGUUUGAUGUUCUAACGUUGACCCGUGAUCCGGGUUGCGGACAGUGUCUGGUGGGUAGUUUGACUGGGGCGGUCUCCUCCUAAAGAGUAACGGAGGAGCACGAAGGUUGGCUAAUCCUGGUCGGACAUCAGGAGGUUAGUGCAAUGGCAUAAGCCAGCUUGACUGCGAGCGUGACGGCGCGAGCAGGUGCGAAAGCAGGUCAUAGUGAUCCGGUGGUUCUGAAUGGAAGGGCCAUCGCUCAACGGAUAAAAGGUACUCCGGGGAUAACAGGCUGAUACCGCCCAAGAGUUCAUAUCGACGGCGGUGUUUGGCACCUCGAUGUCGGCUCAUCACAUCCUGGGGCUGAAGUAGGUCCCAAGGGUAUGGCUGUUCGCCAUUUAAAGUGGUACGCGAGCUGGGUUUAGAACGUCGUGAGACAGUUCGGUCCCUAUCUGCCGUGGGCGCUGGAGAACUGAGGGGGGCUGCUCCUAGUACGAGAGGACCGGAGUGGACGCAUCACUGGUGUUCGGGUUGUCAUGCCAAUGGCACUGCCCGGUAGCUAAAUGCGGAAGAGAUAAGUGCUGAAAGCAUCUAAGCACGAAACUUGCCCCGAGAUGAGUUCUCCCUGACUCCUUGAGAGUCCUGAAGGAACGUUGAAGACGACGACGUUGAUAGGCCGGGUGUGUAAGCGCAGCGAUGCGUUGAGCUAACCGGUACUAAUGAACCGUGAGGCUUAACCUUACAACGCCGAAGCUGUU
rnacentral:rRNA from 1 species